rnacentral:rRNA from 1 species
CCUACGGGAGGCUGCAGUGAGGAAUAUUGGUCAAUGGCCGCAGGGCUGAACCAGCCAAGUCGCGUGAGGGAUGACGGUCCUAUGGAUUGUAAACCUCUUUUGUCAUGGAGAAAAGGGCGCCACGGGUGGCGCUUUGCGAGUACCUGAAGAAAAAGCAUCGGCUAACUCCGUGCCAGCAGCCGCGGUAAUACGGAGGAUGCGAGCGUUAUCCGGAUUUAUUGGGUUUAAAGGGUGCGCAGGCGGAACGUAAAGUCAGCGGUAAAAUUUCGGGGCGAAACCCCGGCGUGCAGUUGAAACUGGCGUUCUUGAGUGGGCGAGAAGGAGGCUGAAUGCGAGGGGUAGCGGUGAAAUGCAUAGAUAUGACGCAGAACACCGAUUGCGAAGGCAGCAUACCGGCGCUCAACUGACGCUCAUGAACGAAAGCGUGGGUAUCGAACAGGAUUAGAUACCCGAGUAGUC